UACGGAGGGGGCUAGCGUUAUUCGGAAUUAUUGGGCGUAAAGGGCGUGUAGGCGGCUUCGUAAGUCUUGUGUGAAAGCCCUCGGCUCAACCGAGGAAUUGCACGAGAAACUGCGUGGCUCGAGUCCGGGAGAGGAUAGUGGAAUUCCCCAGUGUAGCGGUGAAAUGCGUAGAUAUUGGGAGGAACACCGGUGGCGAAGGCGGCUAUCUGGACCGGUACUGACGCUGAUGCGCGAAAGCGUGGGAGCAAACAGG
rnacentral:rRNA from 1 species